UACGUAGGGGGCGAGCGUUGUCCGGAGUUACUGGGCGUAAAGGGUGCGUAGGUGGCCGAUAAAGUCAAGUGUGAAAUUCCACGGCUCAACUGUGGGAGUGCGUUUGAAACUAAUCGGCUUGAGGUCAGGUCAGGGAGAUGGAAUUGUCAGUGUAGGGGUGAAAUCCGUAGAUAUUGGCAAGAACGCCAGUGGUGAAGACGGUCUUCUGGGCUGAUACUGACACUGAGGCACGAAAGCUAGGGGAGCGAAUGGG
rnacentral:rRNA from 1 species